rnacentral:rRNA from 1 species
GAGUUUGAUCCUGGCUCAGGACGAACGCUGGCGGCGUGCUUAACACAUGCAAGUCGAACGGAAAGGCCCCUUCGGGGGUACUCGAGUGGCGAACGGGUGAGUAACACGUGGGUGAUCUGCCCUGCACUUUGGGAUAAGCCUGGGAAACAGGGUCUAAUACCGAAUAGGACCGCAUGCUUCAUGGUGUGUGGUGGAAAGCUUUUGCGGUGUGGGAUGGGCCCGCGGCCUAUCAGCUUGUUGGUGGGGUAAUGGCCUACCAAGGCGACGACGGGUAGCCGGCCUGAGAGGGUGUCCGGCCACACUGGGACUGAGAUACGGCCCAGACUCCUACGGGAGGCAGCAGUGGGGAAUAUUGCACAAUGGGCGCAAGCCUGAUGCAGCGACGCCGCGUGGGGGAUGACGGCCUUCGGGUUGUAAACCUCUUUCAGUAUCGGCGAAGCUCCAGGAUUUUUCUUGGGGUGACGGUAGGUACAGAAGAAGCACCGGCCAACUACGUGCCAGCAGCCGCGGUAAUACGUAGGGUGCGAGCGUUGUCCGGAAUUACUGGGCGUAAAGAGCUCGUAGGUGGUUUGUCACGUUGUCCGUGAAAACUCACAGCUUAACUGUGGGCGUGCGGGCGAUACGGGCAGACUGGAGUACUGUAGGGGAGACUGGAAUUCCUGGUGUAGCGGUGGAAUGCGCAGAUAUCAGGAGGAACACCGGUGGCGAAGGCGGGUCUCUGGGCAGUAACUGACGCUGAGGAGCGAAAGCGUGGGGAGCGAACAGGAUUAGAUACCCUGGUAGUC